rnacentral:misc_RNA from 1 species
AACGCACAUUGCGCCUCUUGGUAUUCCUCGAGGCAUGCCUGUUCGAGCGUCGUUACGCCCCUCAAGCGCAAGCUUGGUGUUGGGGAUCGCCCCUGAGAUACGGCGGCGGCCCUUAAAUGCAUCGGCGGUGCUGGUGUCAGCCCGGAGCGCAGCAGACAUGCGGCUUCCAGGCGACCACGCGCCCGCCGGACAACGACCCGACCUUCAAACGUUGACCUCGGAUCAGGUAGGGAUACCCGCUGAACUUAA